rnacentral:rRNA from 1 species
UACCUGGUUGAACCCGGCC